UCCCGUGAUGAUUAGAAGGAAUCAUUUGUGGUUGUGCCUUAUUCUGACACACGCGCUACCUUCGUUCCAACAGCAGGUUCGCAUAGAUAUAUGCGCUUUCGGCGCCUCCGCUUUGACUGGCUUCCUGAGCUGCACCCUCGAUUCUGCGCCUGAUUCGAUCAGACAGAAAUGGGAGAAGACGAAGGAGCUUUUCAAAGGACGCACCCCGGAAGAAGCUAUACUCAAGCUGUGCGCCAACGCUCCAACCACUGGAGUGGCUCUCGCAAAUAAACGGCUUCAUCAACCAGCAAAGUAAGGGUGAUAAGCCGAAGCUGAAGAGGCUCCUCCUGGCCUGCAAGGAGAGCACCGGGUGAUUGUCGGAGAACCCCGAGCCCCCACCCCCAUACUUUAUACCCGCGUGCGAGAUACUCCGCUGAGGCGAAUGAUCUGAUGAAUGAG